GUCAUUAUUAUGUCACAUAAGAUUAUGACUUCUAUCUUGCUAGUAGACCCUCUCCAUUAACUCUCUCUCUUUCUGAUUGAGUGUAAGCUGCUAUAUGAAGGGAUCCACAAGACGAAUAAUUAAGGGGGACCUCUGAUCAACAGCCAGCAAGGAACUGAAUCCCUCAGACCCACAACUCACAAGAAACUGAAGCUGAAGCAGAUUCUUCCUCAGUCAAGCUUCAGGACCUGCUUUGCAGAAAGGAUCUCAUUGAGAAUAGCAAAAGGAAGUUGGGAACCAUUACAGUGCCCAGCUGUAUUGGUAGAGGAGACCAACCACACCCUCCACAGCACAGCACCUGGAGAGGAACUGCUGCCAUGACCAUAGAGGACACCCUCUGGAUACAAUGCCAGACUUGAUGUGGGACUGACCAACCUAUGGACCCCAGGCACCACCACCCAGACCUGCUCAGCACCUGAAACAUUCACAGCCGUGGAGAGAGAACUGUUCACUGCUACCAUCCACACUUCUGGGCCCCUUCAGCAGCAGGGUGACAAGGAAGAGGGAAAUCGACUUGGAAAAGAGGGGACCUCUGACCCAAGAGUUCGGUCAAUGCAUAUGUUGGCAGCCAGCUGCACAUCGCACCAAAUAUGAACUUCAAAUAGAAGAAAGCCUCAUUUGGAAGAAAGCUCAUGCACAGACUGUAAAUAUUUCAGAGCAGAUUGUGUCUCUGUAGAUUAAUAACCAAAAAAUAGAAGAUUCAGAAGAACUAGCAAAUGUGGAGAGAACGGAUGAAAUGGAAGCAGUGUGAACCUAGUGAAUACUUGCCAAGCUGUAUCUCCCCUGAAUUUGUCAAAACAUCAUCUCCAGCAUCUGAGCUAGACCAACCCUCAGUGCUAACAUUGAUGUGAUUAAAGAGUCUGAACUGGGAGCAGAAUUCCUUCAGGUAUUUUGUUAAUAAAAUAA
rnacentral:lncRNA from 10 species